rnacentral:rRNA from 1 species
AGUGAACGCUGGCGGUAGGCCUAACACAUGCAAGUCGAACGGCAGCACAGUAAGAGCUUGCUCUUACGGGUGGCGAGUGGCGGACGGGUGAGGAAUACAUCGGAAUCUACUUUUUCGUGGGGGAUAACGUAGGGAAACUUACGCUAAUGCCGCAUACGACCUACGGGUGAAAGCAGGGGAUCUUCGGACCUUGCGCGAUUGAAUGAGCCGAUGUCGGAUUAGCUAGUUGGCGGGGUAAAGGCCCACCAAGGCGACUAUCCGUAGCUGGUCUGAGAGGAUGAUCAGCCACACUGGAACUGAGACACGGUCCAGACUCCUACGGGAGGCAGCAGUGGGGAAUAUUGGACAAUGGGCGCAAGCCUGAUCCAGCCAUACCGCGUGGGUGAAGAAGGCCUUCGGGUUGUAAAGCCCUUUUGUUGGGAAAGAAAAGCAGCAGGUUAAUACCCCGCUGUUCUGACGGUACCCAAAGAAUAAGCACCGGCUAACUUCGUG